AUUGAACGCUGGCGGAAUGCUUUACACAUGCAAGUCGAACGGCAGCACGGGGCAACCUGGUGGCGAGUGGCGAACGGUGAGUAAUAUAUCGGAACGUGCCCAAUCGUGGGGGAUAACGUAGCGAAAGUUACGCUAAUACCGCAUACGAUCUACGGAUGAAAGCGGGGAUCGCAAGACCUCGCGCGAAUGGAGCGGCCGAUAUCAGAUUAGGUAGUUGGUGGGGUAAAGGCUCACCAAGCCAACGAUCUGUAGCUGGUCUGAGAGGACGACCAGCCACACUGGAACUGAGACACGGUCCAGACUCCUACGGGAGGCAGCAGUGGGGAAUUUUGGACAAUGGGCGCAAGCCUGAUCCAGCCAUUCCGCGUGCAGGAUGAAGGCCUUGGUUGUAAAC
rnacentral:rRNA from 1 species